rnacentral:rRNA from 1 species
GUCCACGCUGUAAACGAUGCUAACUCGUUUUUGGAUUUUCGGAUUCAGAGACCAAGCGAAAGUGAUAAGUUAGCCACCUGGGGAGUACGUUCGCAAGAAUGAAACUCAAAGGAAUUGACGGGGGCCCGCACAAGCGGUGGAUUAUGUGGUUUAAUUCGAUGAUACGCGAGGAACCUUACCAAGACUUAAAUGGGAAUUGACAGAUUUAGAAAUAGAUCCUUCUUCGGACAAUUUUCAAGGUGCUGCAUGGUUGUCGU